GACGAACGCUGGCGGUGUGCUUAACACAUGCAAGUCGAACGGAAAGGCCCUGCUUUUUUGGGGUGCUCGAGUGGCGAACGGGUGAGUAACACGUGUGUAACCUGCCCUUGACUUUGGGAUAACUUCAGGAAACUGGGGCUAAUCCCGUAUAGGAUCUCCUGCUGCGUGGUGGGGGUUGGAAAUUUUCGGCUGUUGGGGUUGGACUCGCGGCUUAUCAGCUAGUUUGUGGGGUAGUGGCUUACCAAGCCUGUGACGGGUCGGCGGCCUGUGAGGGUGACCGGACACAUUGGUACUGAGGUACGGCACAGUGUGGAAUGGGAGGCAACAGUCGCGAAUAUUGCACAGUGGGAGGGGGUGUGAUGAAGAAACGCUGGGUGUGGGAUGACGGCCUUCGGGUUGUAAACAGCUUUAGCCUGUGACGACGCGUGAGUGACGGUAAUGGGUAAAGAAGCACCGGCUAACUACGUG
rnacentral:rRNA from 1 species